UCACCUCUCAAGCCUGGCUUGCAGUUGGAUUCUAGGCAAGGCUGUGAUGCCUGGCCGGUCCUAAAGAUAACGACGGCGUCUGAAUGACCCCAGUACACUGAGCUCUUGUAGCACGUACUCGGGCGGAAGUUCCGGCCCGGUCUCGCCUUUAUUUAUUCUAA
rnacentral:misc_RNA from 1 species